rnacentral:lncRNA from 1 species
GUCACCUUCAACCUGUAGGUGCGCUUGCUAGCGCUUUCUUGCACAGCAGGUCGCGAGCAACAAAGUUAGGAGACUCAGAAAAUGUACCGAGUCAAACAACUUCUGUCUUUUGACAUGAUCGAGAUGUGCAGCUUCGUUUCUUAAUGGUGGAACGUUUGCUUAAAUUCGUAUUCCUGCAAAGGAAGUCGCGAGCAAGUGCGUAAAAGGGGAUUCAGAAAGUUUACCGAGUCAAAUGACUUCUGUCUUGUGAUGUUACCGAGGCAAAACCUGUCUCGUCAACCGUUGCAGUUGACAGGUGAGUCGCGUGUUUUGUGCAGAUACUGGCAAUGGUCGAUUUACAUUCCUCGCAUUUUCCGUGUUGAGGACGGUGCUGCCUUGCGACCCUUUUCCGUGAAGUGCAGCUUACAACCCGUUUGCUUUGUUUUCUCCACACUUUCUGCAUUUGCCGGCCUUUUCAGCCGACAGAAGCAGCAUCCGAACCAGAGAUCGUGUACCCUCGGGUGGGGUUGUUCACUGGGGACACGCGAAGUAUCUGGCUAGAGUUGAGAAUUGCGGAAAGGAGUGACAAAGCGUGGACACAAGAACUUAAAAACGGCUGCGACACGGACGCCUUCCGCGCGUCUCGUCUUUUAGACGUCACUUGACACGUAACUCCUGAUUUUCUCGACAAACUUUGCAUGUCGCGACACCGCUCGACUCAGUUCAAACUGAAUAGACCGUCUAGCGGGCACACACCCAUAGAAAAGCUGAUUCUUGC